UAUAUAUAUUCAGUACAUUUUGGGAGGAUCACUUGACCCGAGGAGUUUGAGACCAGCCUGGGCAACACAGGGAUACCCCAUCUCUUAAAGAGAAAAAAAUUAAAGCUAUUCCAAAAAUGAGGACACCUUCCCAGCGUCCGAGGCCCAACCCCAUGUGCCACGCUGGUCACCUCUGCCGCCUUCCACCUCCAGGCGCUCCUAGAGCUGUCCCUGGGCUGGUGGCUUCUGAGGGGGGCUGUAGUUGGGUCCUGCUCGCCUUGGCCGCUCUUGGUGAAGGGCUCCUUGCCCAGCCUGCCGUCAUCCUCCUGGGUUUCCAUGUAACAGGUCCACCGUCCUGUGGGGCGGUGUCUCACAUUUGCCUUGCUGUUAAAAAAUGGGGGACACUGUCCCCGGGCCUCUGAUCACCGGCCCUGCCCUUGGGCGGGGAUGGUUCUCAGCAGCUCCUUGUCCCAGAGGCCUUUGGAGAACUGGGGUCAGAGCUGUAGGGAGGGACAGCCCUCCUGUGCAGGCUGCCUCCCAGCUCUCCACAUGGCAGUCUUGGCACUGCCCUGGCGCCUCUGCUCACUGGCACAGGCAGAUCUGGGGUUCGAGGUCUCCUCCCACUUCACCCUGACUUUCUUUCUUGUAUGUAUGGGGUCAACGCCUCCUCUCUGAAGCCCACGGGUCCUCUCCCAGCCCCAGGCUGCACCCAGUGCAGAACCUUUGCCUCCUGGCUGGAGAGGCCGGUCCGCAGGCUGAUUUCAGCAGAGCCUGGUGGUGGGACCAGCACCAGACCACACCUUUGCCUCCCAGAGGCCUCCUGGCCCUCCUGUCAUGGCCUCCGAGAGCCAUACCCCUCGGCCCCGUCUCCUGACCUGCAGGCCGCAGGACCAGCUGCCCACGGCCCACACACACACUUCCUGGGCGUUUCUUUAGAGCUUUAAAAUGGUACCUGGAGACCACCAGGCGCAGUGAUCAGAUCCGGUGGUGUGGUACCUCCCAGUACUGACCACUUCUUGCUCUCAGACUGAGGUGUGGCAGGAAGGGGAUGUGGCCCGGGAGGGAGGCAGGUGGCCUGGGAGUCUCCCGGACCCUCAGUGAGCCUGUGUCUCUGGGCGCUGCAGCUCUGCGCCCCUCUCCUUUCUUCCAGAACAUUCCCCACUGGGGCCAGGGAAUUGCGUUUGCACCAGGAAUGCAUCCUAGCGUGUGUAUGAUCAUGCCUGGGUGUCCUGUUCUCAUGAGCAAGCGGUUUUAACCAGCAGCAUAAUUUAUACUCAUAGACAGGACUGGGGGAAGGGCCGUUCCCGAGGCUGGGGUAUAGUGCCUUGGAAAGCACCCCCGAAACAGUAGACCUUGUAUUUUUAGUGUCCCCUGCAACCAUCCUUUGACUUGGAGCAAGAAUUUCCGCUGCUGCUACCCCCGAGAUGGGCUUCACCAGAUGUUAAUAACGUGCUUAUUUUCGCUAAGUGCUAUUUUGGCACCAGUGUUAGUUGCAAUUUAUAUUCUGCAGCAUUUGAUGCUGGGAAAAGAACCCACCCUAAUAGUCCCCAAUUGGCAGAGCUUGGCUGUUAAGCGGCAGACCAUAUGCUGCCUGCCGGAGAAGCGUGGUCAGCACUUGUCCCCGUGACUGCGUGCGUGUGCAUGCGUGUACCUGUGCCCUGUGUGUGCACGUGUGCCUGCGUGCAUGUACCUGUGUGCACGUGUGCCUGCGUGUAUCUGUGCCCUGUGUGUGCACACGUGCCUGCGUGUACGUGUGCCUGUGUGUGUGUGCCUGUGUAAACCUGUGCCCUGUGUGUGCAUGCGUGUGUGAGUCACGUCUUCCCUGUGUGAGUGUGAGGGAGAGACUGAGGGGUUGGAGAGAGGGUGGAGGGGAAAGGGUAUGUAUCCCUUUGUUCUUUAAAAGGGAGAGCUCCUACUUCUCUGGCUGCCCCGUCCUGCCUGUGCCCCCAGCUCACCCCAGACCUAGCUGCUAUUUAUUCUACUGACUUCCUCAUGGCCCUGCGGCCCCAUGGCCCCAUGGCCCUGUGGCCUGUGACCCUGCAGCCCCUUGUCCUGCAGCCUCUGCCCCGCUGCCUGCUCCAUGUCACCAGGCAACACUGGGCCCCACCAGGCUUCUGAAGGUGGCCCAGGGCAGGCACUUGAGCCUGAGGACCCAGAGCAAAGGUGCCUUUCUGGGCCUUGGGUGCUCCUCUCUGCUGUAUGAGGCUUUUCUAGCUUUCAAGGGCCCGUCCAGCCCAGGGGAGCUGGGUGAGGGCUGCUUCCUUCUGCAGCAGAGGAGGCGGGUCCUAUCCCUGCCAUCCGCUGCCCCCAGACGCCCUGCCAGGACACAGGCCUGAGACGUUUCUUCUCCAAGAGGCUGUCCCGGGACCUGUGUGUGCACAGGGCGGGAGGACACUCGCUGCUUUGACCCAGGACUGCAGCCAGGAUGGGCUAAGCUCCUCUGGCGCUAAAAACACACAAGGCAUGCCUGCCAGCUCAGCAGCGCCCUCCCUCAACCACUCCCUGUGCCCGGACCCAGAGCCACAGGCCUUUGGGCCCAGGGGACUGGGGCUGGGCUCAGGCUUGGGCCUGGGGGGCUCAUGGAGGGGCCAGGCCUAGAGCAGUAGGGCUGCGACAGCUGAGGGCUGGGCCCCUGCCAGCCAAUGAAGCUCCAGAUCAGUGUCCCGGCCUUGGAGGUGCCAGCAGUGCUCCUGCAGGGAUGGAGGGUGCUGGAGCCCUGGAUGCGGAGACCCUGAUCUCCCAGCAGGCAGUGCUGUGACAGCCUCCCACCUCCUCUUCCCCUGUUAUCUGCUCGUUUUAGGAUCUGAAAAUGACAGGUUUUUUUUUUUUUGAGAGGGAGUCUGCUUUGUCCCCCAGGCUGGAGUGCAGUGGCAUGAUUUCGGCUCACUCACUACAACCUCUGCCUCACAGGUUCAAACGACUCUCCCACCUCAGCCUCCCGAGUAGCCAGGAUUACAGGCAUCUGCCAUCAUGACCGGCUAAUUUUUGUAUCUUAGUAGAGAUGGGGUUGCACCAUGUUGGUCAGGCUGGUCUUGAACUCCUGACCUCAAGUGAUCCUCUUGCCUCGGCCUCCCAAAGUGCUGGGAUAACAGGCGUGAGCCACCGCGCCUGGCCCAUUACAGAGCUCUUGUAAGAAAGCUUGUGAAAGUCAUGGACAAGGUGUGGCGAUGAAGUGUGGGGCCGCUAAACCGGAGGCAGAGGAGACGUCGACCGCCUCCUGUGGACGUGGGCAGAGCGCUGCUGCCAGUUCCUGGUAGCCUUGACCACGACGCUGGGGGGCUCUUCAUGAUGGCCAUGGGUCUCAUUUGCACUUGGGGGUGUGGGUUCAAGUUAGAAGUUUCUAGAUCUACUGGGCAUGAUGAACACAAACCCCACAGACACUGAGGAACGCCGUGGUGGCCGUGACUCGGGCCAGCUGUUAAUCAGGGCUCCUCUACUCUCUCAAGCUCCUUCAAGAAACAUGGGAGGGGCCGGGCGCAGUGGCUCAAGCCUGUCAUCCCAGCACUUUGGGAGGCUGGGGCAGGAGGAUUGCUUGAGCCCAGGAGUUCGAGACCAGCCUGGGCAACAUAGUGAGAGUCUAUCUCUACAUAAAAUUUAAAAACAAGUUAGCUGGGCAUUGUACGUGUGCCUGUGGUCCCAGCUACUCAGGAGGCUGAGACAGGAGGUUGCUUAAGGCCAGGAGUUGGAGGUUGCAGUGAGCCAAGAUCACACCAUUGCCCUCGACCCUGGGCCACAGAGAAAUACCCUGUCUCAAAAAAACAAAAAAUAAAGCAGAAAUGCUGAAGGGGUCGGUUUACAGGAAAACCCCAGAUCAGAACACCUGGCUACUCCCGCCCUAGACCAGUGGACCUGGGAAUGAGGGUUGGUCCUGGGAGGCUUUUCUCCAAGCUGUUGCCGCCAGACCUGCCGGGGGAACCCUGGCCACAGAAGCCUCCCAGGGAGUGAGCCAGAGCCUGGACCGCUGUGUUGUUGAUGUGUCUGGGGCAGAGGGUGGGGAGUGUGCAAGGGUGUGUGUGUGCCAGGGGGUGUUCACGGGCAAGCACGUGCGUGCCUGUGUGUGUGUGUGCCCCUCCCCUGCAGCCGCUGGUGGUACCUCCCUCCAGCCCCUUCGCCACCCUCUGAGCAUUGCCCAUCCGGGUGAGACUGCCCAGAGACAGCAGAGCUCCACGUGUUUUUAAGGCGAGACCUUUCCCUGGCCCCGGGGGUCUUGCCAUAUCUCAUGACCAGGUGCUAAAUGACCCUACAUGCAUUACCUGCCUUUUGAUGACCAACCUCCCUGUCCCCGUCCCGCUGACUUGCCCCCAUGGCGUCUCACGGUGAUGCCUGCUCCUGACUUUGGUGUUCCCUGUAGCAAACUACCUUCUGGAUGGGAAUUUUCAUGUACAUGUGUGGCAUGUGGAAAAUUUCAAAUAAAAUGGACUUGAUUUAGAAAGCCA